UUGGAGGGCAAGUCUGGUGCCAGCAGCCGCGGUAAUUCCAGCUCCAAUAGCGUAUAUUAAAGUUGCUGCAGUUAAAAAGCUCGUAGUUGAAUUUCGGGACCAUCAUGUCGGUCGUGCCUCGGUACGUACUGGCAUCGUCGGUUUCUCCCUUCUGACGAACCAUGAUGCCAUUUAUUUGGUGUUGUGGGGAAUCAGGACUGUUACUUUGAAAAAGUUAGAGUGUUUAAAGCAGGCUCACGCUUGAAUACAUUAGCAUGGAAUAAUGAAAUAGGACGUUUGAUUCUAUUUUGUUGGUUUCUAGGAUCGACGUAAUGAUUAAUAGGGAUAGUUGGGGGCAUUAGUAUUCAAUUGUCAGAGGUGAAAUUCUUGGAUUUAUUGAAGACUAACUACUGCGAAAGCAUUUGCCAAGGAUGUUUUCAUUAAUCAAGAACGAAAGUUAGGGGAUCGAAGACGAUCAGAUACCGUCGUAGUCUUAACCAUAAACUAUGCCGACUAGGGAUCGGAUGAUGUUAAUUUUUUAAUGACUCAUUCGGCGCCUUACGGGAAACCAAAGUGUUUGGGUUC
rnacentral:rRNA from 1 species